GCCUUCUCCUACUCCCUAUAUAGCCUCAACUGCAAGGCCUGAUACUGUCAAGCUCCAUUUCCAGGUUGGCAGAAGACUCCACCGUAGUGGUGUGUUGGAAUACAGGAAGGCGGUAGGGAGCCAAGUGAAGGAAUGUCAUGAUUACAAACUUUUUCUCAAUGGCAGCAAAACAAAAGAGCUAGUCAUCUUCUUUUUUGGGGGGUGGGGGUUGGGGGCAGCAGUGCACAUACUGCUGUUUAUAUCAACACUGUUGAGGUUGAGAGGAUUGACAGCUUCAAGUCACUUAUAGAAUUAACAAAUGGUCCUCUACUACGAUAAGACAUCACAAUUUACCUUUUGCGCCUCAUUCUCCAGCUGCACUGCACUCAGUACAACUGUAGCACUUUAUUCUGCAUUGUUAUUGUUUUACCUUGAACCACCUCAAUACACUGUUGUAAUCAACUGAUCUGAAUGAACUGUACGCAAGACAAGUUUUUCCAUAGUACCUGGGACAAAAAUUAACCAACUUACCACUUAUUUUCUACAAAGAAAAUUUAUAGAUACCAGAGAUGCACAAGAAAUGUCCGAAGAAGGGCAAACUGUUGGUGUUAGUUUAUUGACAGAAUCUUGGAGUAAAGGCUCAAAUAUAAAAAACAAAACGUGUGGGUGAAAACUCCUUUCUCGCAGCAUCACACUCUGUGUAACAUACUAACAAUUCUGCAGGUUGUUUAGCUUGGACACUUUGUUCCAGACCCUCACCACAAGGGAAGCUGUGCAAGUGUGUGCGCACACACUCGGACGAGUGAGUGUAGACAGUGACACUAAGUUGCACACAAAGUAUGUUUUGAAAUUUAUCUCAGAAUCCAAAUUAAUUUGUGAAUAGCAAGGGGAAGUCACACAGAAGCAGGUGUUUCCUGUAGAGCAGAGGCUCCUCUGUGUUAGUUACAGGGUCUUGGACCAUCUCAGACCACGGCAUGGAGUCCAAGCUACUGACGUUUCAUCAUGUAGUUCCUCUCAGAAUUUUUCUGAAGCACUCAGUCCUUUCCCUCAACUCCUCUUGAUUUUGUUCAGGUCUUCUGAUUAUGUGUUUCACAAUUCCUACUUGUUCAUACUUCACUCAGUUUGAUCACCAGUACAAAUCCCUGACUUUCCUUCCCACAUCCUCUAGCCACUGAUUUCCCUUCCUUCAAAAUCCCCUUCGCAAUAACCCAUUCCUUGAUGUCCUAACCCACAAUGUCUCUUUCUCUGAUGGCCCUUUUGUUAUCAAAGGAUUGGGCAUUGUCUUUUCUAAAUGUCCCUUCCAUCAAUCCCUGAAAUUCCCCUCCUCAUGGAGACAGAGAGAAGCACAGCAAGAAACAGGCUCUUCAGCUCAUCUGGUUCAAGCUGAAACAAGAUUCUCAUCUAAGCUCAUUCCAUUUGCCUGGGUUUGGCCCAUAUCCAUCUUUGUACCUGUCCACGUACCUUUUAAAUGUUUUUAAUGAACUUGGCCCAAACACUUCAUCCGGCAGCUCAUUCUAUACAUUGAACACCCUCUGAAUGAAGUUACUUUGCAAGUUCCUAUUCAUUCUCUCCCUGCUCACAUUAAGCCUAUGACCUCUAAUUCUUAAUUCCCCAACUUUGGGGGAAAAUGCUGUGCAGUCUCCCUCCUUAUGUCCCUCAUGACUUUACAUGCCUCCCUAAGGUGACCUCCCAUUCUCCUACAAUCCAAUGAAAAGAGUUUGAAUCUAUUCGACCUCUCCUUCCAUCGGCGGCACAGCAGUGGAAAUUGCAAGCAGUUUCAAACUCCUGAGAGUGCACAUCUCACACACUCUCAGAACACAUCCUACACGGUCAAGAAAGCUGACCCACACCUCUGCUUUCUGAGGAGGUUGAACCGAGCUGGAGUUUGCACAUCCAUACUCAUGUCAUUCUGCAGAUGUGCAGUGGAGAGCAUCCUAACAAACCUACAUCACUGCUUGGUAUGGAAACUGCACUGUGGCGGACAGGAAGGCUUUAUGACGGGUAGUCAAAACGGUCCAACGUUAUCACUGAUACCAGCCUAGCCCCCAUCAAGGGCAAAUCUACAGAAAGGUGCUGGAGAAAAACCCAGUAACAUCAUAAAGGAUCCCACGCACCCUGCUCAUGGACUGUUUGUCCCACUCCCAUAAGGGAGGAGGCUAAAUAGCAUCUACACCAGCCCCAGACUCAAAGCAGUAAGGCUGAUCAACAGCUUCACCCACCAACUCCAUCACUACUUUACUAUUUCCUGUCAGUCACCUUAUGUGCCACGCAUUGUCACUUUAUGGACAAUCAAUGUAUAAUCGCUAUCUUAUGUAUUUAUAUUUAUUGUGUGAUUUAAAACAAUUAUUACCUGUUCUAUAUCUUUUGUGUGUUUUUUUGUGCUGCAUCAGAUUCGGAGUAACAAUUAUUUCAUUCUCCUUACAUUUGUGUACAGGAAAUGAUAUUAAACAAUCAUGUAUCUCUCUCUGCAACUCAGUUUCUCCAAUCUCAGCAAUGUCCUUGUUAAUCUCUGCACACUUUCCAGCUUAAUUGCACCUUUCCCUGAUCAAAGUGCCUGUUGUAUUCCCACAGCUGACACCACUUCCCAUGAUACCGCUGACUCAUGACCAAUUGCCUUUGGCCACGUCAACUCCUUGUUAUCCCUGCCCUGAUACUUUCUUCCUUCACUUACACUGCAAUUGCAAAACAGCACUGGCCCUGUUCAGUAGAGCACCAAAGGGGAGUCCUCUUCAUAGAUUAAUCUUCUCAGACUUCCACAGGUGUAAUGCAACACAUCAUGAGAUGUCAGAGCUGCGGUGACCAGUGAGGCAGGGGUGAAGUUCAGUCUUGCUGAGCUGAGGGGCUGGAGUCAUUUUAAGUCCUAGCCUUCAGCUUUAUAUCAUACCUUAGCUGGUUCAUUCCAAGCAUCCAUCUAAAUAGCAACAUUGAUCUGGACUCUGAAGUACAGGAUUUCAAUAAUCAACCAAAUGCUGAGCUGUGAGUACAUCACCUGUGGGUCCAAUUUGAGCGUUUUUGGCUUGUGCAGCUUAAAGGCAUUGUGAAGGUCGAGUUGCGAUCUCGACACUCAACCCGGCAAGGAUGGAAAGCGUACUUGGCAGCGGCCCCGGCUGGGUUCGAACUCGGAAAUCUCCGUUCCAGAGUCUGGUGCUGAUGUCAUUGUGCCACCAGCAGCCCUAGUUCACUGUAUUUUUCAAUGUACGUGUAACAAUAAAGGCUAAUGUUUAUCUAAUUCCCUGUAGCUAUUACCAUGAAUGUCUUCUUUACCCUCCCCAAAUACAUCACCUUGUGCUUCUCGGGCCAGUAGCCAUGUUCUCAUUUUACCAACUCCCUUCCUUCUCAUCCAUAACUUCUGACAUACAAGCAGCAGAUGAUGUAACCACUCAGGUCUUAGGUCUCUAGCGUAGUGGUUAGCACAAUGCUUUACAGUACCAGCGACCCGGGUUCAAUUCCCGCCACUGUCUGUACGAAGUUUGUACACUCUCCUCGAGAAUUCCCUGUGGAUCUCUGGUACCCUCCCACAGCUCAAGGACAUACUGGUUGGACAUUGUAAAUAAUCCCAUGAUUAGGCUCGGCUUAAAUUGGGGAACGCUGGGCAGCACGACUCGAAGGGGCUAUUUCAUGCUGUAUCUUAAUAAAUGAUUAAAACUCCUCACAUGAUCCAACCUUUCUUCUUUCUGAUAAGCAAGCUAGCUAGGUGGCAAUUGAAUAGCAGGGGGGCAAAGCUGAAGGCACGUUGUCACUUGAUUUAACGUGUACCCAGAUCAGAAGUGCAAGGGUCAAUUUGAUAGACAUACAGCCACUGUUCUCAUCUAUUGAUCCACAGACAUGAAUCUGGACCUUUCCUUCUCAGCUGGGGAAUAGCGGUUUAAUUAUUUAAAUAAAAUCUGGAAAUAAAAAGAAACAAAAGCCAGGUUUUGGUAAUGGUAACCACAAAAACUACUUGUCUGUUAAGAAAACCUACUGUAUUUGCUAACACCUUCAGGGAAGAAAAUUUGCCCAUCUCUAGCAUGCGUGACUCUGAACUGCUCCCUCAGUUCGGAGCCAGUUAGUGAUCGACAGAGAAAUGCCAGCAUUGCCAGUUGUGUUUACAUCUGACAAAUAACAAAACAAAAGCUAUAACUUCAUGCACAAGUCCAUGUUGAAGUGAGAUUUGAACAUGAUAAUAACCUGCCUGGGCCACUGUAGACUUAAUUAACAACACACAAGAGACUGCAGGUGUGCACAGAUAGAAGAGGUGAUGAGGGGCUCGACAUAAAAUGUGAAUCAAAUGUGAAUUUGAAAGACAGUUUCUAAACAGAGCAAAUUCAGAAAUCAGAAGUGCAAAGGGAUUUGGGGAGCCCUCACGCAGGAUUCCCUAAAGGUUAACUUGCAGGUUGAGCCGGUGCAAAUACAAUGUUAUUAUCAUGUUCAGAGGAUUAGAAUAUGAAAAUAAGGAUGCAACAUUGAGGCUUUACAAGCCAUUGGCUGGACUGCACUUGGAGUAUCGUGAGCA